rnacentral:rRNA from 1 species
GAUGAACACUGGCGGCGUGCCUAAUACAUGCAAGUCGAGCGAACAGACGAGGAGCUUGCUCCUCUGACGUUAGCGGCGGACGGGUGAGUAACACGUGGAUAACCUACCUAUAAGACUGGGAUAACUUCGGGAAACCGGAGCUAAUACCGGAUAAUAUAUUGAACCGCAUGGUUCAAUAGUGAAAGACGGUUUUGCUGUCACUUAUAGAUGGAUCCGCGCCGCAUUAGCUAGUUGGUAAGGUAACGGCUUACCAAGGCAACGAUGCGUAGCCGACCUGAGAGGGGGAUCGGGCCCACUGGAACUUGGACACGGUCCCGACUCCUACGGGAGGCAGCAGUAGGGAAUCUUCCGCAAUGGGCGAAAGCCUGACGGAGCAACGCCGCGUGAGUGAUGAAGGUCUUCGGAUCGUAAAACUCUGUUAUUAGGGAAGAACAAAUGUGUAAGUAACUAUGCACGUCUUGACGGUACCUAAUCAGAAAGCCACGGCUAACUACGUG